CCCUUAGAUGUUCUGGGCUGCACGCGCGCUACACUGAAGCGUUCAACGAGUAUUCACCUUGCCCGGGAGGGUUGGGUAAUCUUUUGAAAACGCUUCGUGAUGGGGAUAGAUUAUUGCAAUUAUUAAUCUUCAACGAGGAAUUCCUAGUAAGCGCGAGUCAUCAGCUCGUGCUGAUUACGUCCCUGCCCUUUGUACACACCGCCCAUCGCUCCUACCGAUUGAGUGAUCCGGUGAAUAAUUCGGACUGCAGCACUGCUUGGUCUCCAGGCUUUGCAGCGGAAAGUUUAGUGAACCUUAUCACUUAGAGGAAGGAGAAGUCGUAACA
rnacentral:rRNA from 1 species